ACUCACGCGGGAAUCUUACCGGGUCCGGACACACUGAGGAUUGACAGACAAAUACACACACUUUUACGGUGUGUGCAUGAAAUAUGCUAGUUCUUUCAUGAUUAUGUGAUAGGUGGUGCAUGGCCGUUCUUAGUUCGUGGAGUGAUCUGUCUGCUUAAUUGCGUUUCACUAAAGGCACAUACACAUAAUAUUGAUGUGUUGUGUAUAAUUUAUAAUUAUACGCAUACACACAUAUUAUAUUGUGCUUUGAAAGCAACGAACGUGACCGCAACCUCUUGUUGCCUGUAUAUAUGUGUAUUUUAUACACACCACAGGCUAUUAUAAACUAGAGGGACCGCUGUUACUUUCUUUUAAACCAGAG
rnacentral:rRNA from 1 species